UACGAAUGUGGCAAGCGUUGUUCGGAAUCACUGGGCGUAAAGAAUGCGUAGGCGGCUAGACAAGUCAGAAGUGAAAUCCCAGGGCUCAACCCUGGAACUGCUUUUGAAACUGUUUGGCUAGAGUCCCGGAGGGGUUGGCGGAAUUCCGAGUGUAGAGGUGAAAUUCGCAGAUAUUCGGAGGAACACCAGUGGCGUAGGCGGCCAACUGGACGGGAACUGACGCUGAGGCAUGAAAGUGUGGGGAGCGAACAGG
rnacentral:rRNA from 1 species